GACGAACGCUGGCGGCGUGCUUAACACAUGCAAGUCGAACGGAAAGGCCCUGCUUGCAGGGUACUCGAGUGGCGAACGGGUGAGUAACACGUGGGUGAUCUGCCCUGCACUUCGGGAUAAGCCUGGGAAACUGGGUCUAAUACCGGAUAGGAGCCAUUUUUCGUGUGAUGGUUGGAAAGUUUUUUCGGUGUGGGAUGAGCUCGCGGCCUAUCAGCUUGUUGGUGGGGUAAUGGCCUACCAAGGCGGCGACGGGUAGCCGGCCUGAGAGGGUGGACGGCCACAUUGGGACUUGGGUACGGCCCAGACUCCUACGGGAGGCAGCAGUGGGGAAUAUUGCACAAUGGGGGCAAGCCUGAUGCAGCGACGCCGCGUGGGGGAUGACGGCCUUCGGGUUGUAAACUCCUUUCGCUAGGGACGAAGCUUUUUGUGACGGUACCUAGAGAAGAAGCACCGGCUAACUACGUG
rnacentral:rRNA from 1 species